rnacentral:rRNA from 1 species
ACGGAAGGCAGCAGUGAGGAAUAUUGGUCAAUGGGCGGAAGCCUGAACCAGCCAAGUCGCGUGAAGGAAGAAGGUAUUAUGUAUUGUAAACUUCUUUAGGCGCAGGGAAAUAAGGGGCUCGAGAGCUCUGAUGCUAGUACGCGCAGAAUAAGGAUCGGCUAACUCCGUGCCAGCAGCCGCGGUAAUACGGGGGAUACGAGCGUUAUCCGGAUUUAUUGGGUUUAAAGGGUGCGCAGGCGGAUCGGUAAGUCAGGGGUGAAAAGUUGGGGCUUAACUCCAAUCGUGCCUUUGAUACUGCCGGACUAGAGUGCGAUAGACGUGGCCGGAAUGUGAUGUGUAGCGGUGAAAUGCUUAGAUAUGUCACAGAACACCGAUCGAGAAGUCAGGUCACGAGCUCGCAACUGACGCUCAGGCACGAAAGCGUGGGGAUCAAACAGGAUUAGAUACCCUGGUA